AGGGUUUGAUCCUGGCUCAGAAUCAACGCUGGCGGCAUGCCUAACACAUGCAAGUCGAACGCGGUUAGUAGCAAUACUAACUGAGUGGCGAACGGGUGAGUAACGCGUGGGUGACCUACCUCCGAGUGGGGGAUAACGUCCCGAAAGGGACGCUAAUACCGCAUGACAUCCUGCCCUUGAACGGGUGGAGAUCAUAGCUGGGGAUCGCAAGACCCGGCGCUUGAAGAGGGGCCCGCGUCCGAUUAGCUAGUUGGUGAGGUAACGGCUCACCAAGGCGACGAUCGGUAUCCGGCCUGAGAGGGCGGACGGACACACUGGGACUGAGACACGGCCCAGACUCCUACGGGAGGCAGCAGUGGGGAAUUGUUCACAAUGGGCGCAAGCCUGAUGACGCAAUGCCGCGUGGAGGAUGAAGGUCUUCGGAUUGUAAACUCCUGUUGCCAGGGACGAAUGGCUCCGACCUAACACGUCGGAGAAUGACGGUACCUGGUGAGGAAGCCCCGGCUAACUCUGUGCCAGCAGCCGCGGUAAUACAGAGGGGGCGAGCGUUGUUCGGAAUUACUGGGCGUAAAGGGCGCGUAGGCGGCCUUCUAAGUCGAACGUGAAAUCCCCGGGCUCAACCCGGGAACUGCGUCCGAUACUGGGAGGCUUGAAUCCGGGAGAGGGAUGUGGAAUUCCAGGUGUAGCGGUGAAAUGCGUAGAUAUCUGGAGGAACACCGGUGGCGAAGGCGGCAUCCUGGACCGGUAUUGACGCUGAGGCGCGAAAGCCAGGGAGCAAACGGGAUUAGAUACCCCGGUAGUCCUGCCCUAAAC
rnacentral:rRNA from 1 species